AGAAGCGGAAACGAUGUUCAGCGGUUCAUACUUGUACUUGCGAAAUAUGGUAUAAGAGGUUGCAAGAUUGGCCGUACAGUCAUUCAAGCUGCUACUACGAGUGACCUAGCCUCCAUCACACGCCGUAAGAAGCUGAACAUGAAGUUCCUUUGCCUGGCCUUGCUUCUCGUCAUCGUCACUGUUGUGUCAUGCGUCCCUGCCCCCAACGUCCACGGUCUGCUCCCCGAACCCUAUAUGU